GAAUCUUCCGCAAUGGGCGAAAGCCUGACGGAGCGACACCGCGUGCAGGAUGAAGGCCUUCGGGUUGUAAACUGCUGUCACGCUUUAGGAACGCACGGGUGUUAAUAGCACUCGGACUGACCAAGGCUAAAGGAAGCACCGGCUAACGCUGUGCCAGCAGCCGCGGUAAGACAGAUGGUGCAAACGUUGUUCGGAAUUACUGGGCAUAAAGAGCACGUAGGUGGUUCGCUAAGUCACGUGUGAAAUCCCCCGGCUCAACCGGGGAAUUGCGCGUGAUACUGACGAACUCGAGGCGGGUAGGGGUGAGCGGAACUCCAGGUGGAGCGGUGAAAUGCGUAGAUAUCUGGAGGAACACCGGUGGCGAAAGCGGCUCACUGGACCCGAUCUGACACUGAGGUGCGAAAGCUAGGGUAGCAAACGGG
rnacentral:rRNA from 1 species